UUAUUGGCCAAGUUUGGAUUAAUUUGGCCCAGUAGUUUCAGAGGAGAAGAUUUUUGUAAAAGAUUACUAAGAUUUACGAAAAAUGGUUAAAAAUUGACUAUAAAGGGCAAUAACUCCUAAAGGGGUCAACUGACCAUUUUGGUCAUGUUGACUUAUUUGUAAAUCUUAUUUUGCUGAACAUUAUUGCUGUUUACAGUUUAUCUCUAUCUAUAAUAAUAUUCAAGAUAAUAACCAAAAACAGCA
rnacentral:lncRNA from 1 species